AUUGAACGCUGGCGGCAGGCCUAACACAUGCAAGUCGAGCGGAUGAAGGGAGCUUGCUCCUGGAUUCAGCGGCGGACGGGUGAGUAAUGCCUAGGAAUCUGCCUGGUAGUGGGGGAUAACGUCCGGAAACGGGCGCUAAUACCGCAUACGUCCUGAGGGAGAAAGUGGGGGAUCUUCGGACCUCACGCUAUCAGAUGAGCCUAGGUCGGAUUAGCUAGUUGGUGGGGUAAAGGCCUACCAAGGCGACGAUCCGUAACUGGUCUGAGAGGAUGAUCAGUCACACUGGAACUGAGACACGGUCCAGACUCCGAAGGGAGGCAGCAGUGGGGAAUAUUGGACGAUGGGCGAAAGCCUGAUCCAGCCAUGCCGCGUGUGUGAAGAAGGUCUUCGGAUUGUAAAGCACUUUAAGUUGGGAGGAAGGGCAGUAAGUUAAUACCUUGCUGUUUUGACGUUACCAACAGAAUAAGCACCGGCUAACUUCGUG
rnacentral:rRNA from 1 species